UUAAGUUCAGCGGGUAUCCCUACCUGAUCCGAGGUCAACCUUAUAAUAGUUGGGGUUGUUGGCAAGUACAAUCGAGACCCUGUCGCGAGAAAAAUUACUACGCGUAGAGCUUAAGAGCACCGCCACUCAUUUUAAGAGAGGCCAGUUAGGCCAGCUCCAAGUCCACCACGGGGGUGAGUUGGUCAUUAUGACGCUCGAAC
rnacentral:misc_RNA from 1 species